UACAGAGGCUCCAAGCAUUACCCGGAAUCACUGGGCGUAAAGGGUGUCUAGGCGGCCAUAUUAGUCUUGCGUUAAAUCUGUGGGCUCAACCUGCAGUCUGCGUGAGAAACGGUAUGGCUCGAGGGCGUGAGAGGUGCAUGGAACUCAUGGUGGAGGGGUGAAAUCCGUUGAUAUCAUGGGGAACACCAAAGGCGAAGGCAAUGCACUGGUACGUUCCUGACGCUCAAACACGAAAGCCAGGGUAGCGAACGGG
rnacentral:rRNA from 1 species